rnacentral:tRNA from 1 species
GCUGCCGUAGCUCAGUUGGUCAGAGCGCCGGGUUGUGGACCCGGAGGUCAUGGGUUCGACCCCCAUCGGCAGUA